GUCUACUAAUGCUUUUGUUUGGUUUACCGUCUCUUCAUUCGGCCGUAUUACUUAAAGCGUUUCUAUCCCCUCAAACGCGUAAUAUGGAUUCAGUGCUGAAAGCUUGGAAUGGCCAUUCCGACUAUCGCCGAAUAGAAAUGAAGAAAAUUCUUCCCAAAAUCUCCUUCAUACUUUCUCUGCAAAUGCGUUCAAAAUUGCUUCUUUUAUCACAACAAUACAAUUUCAGUAUUUCAAAUUUGGAGAUAUGGUGCAACAAACGAAAAUUUAUUAAGAAAUAUACAUUAUAGUGCUUUGGAGCAGACACAAAUUGAAGUCCAGACACUAGAGGGUCAAACGAAACCAGAAGUUCUUCUAGCGGGCAGUAUAGAUGGCUCUUUCAGGUCAGGGUUGAAAGCUGAAAUUGGAAUACUCUUUCCUAGGAUAUUUUUCUCUGGCAUGAAUCAGUGCAGUGCUUAGUUAGCAUCAUUAAGUCAAUGGGAGCUUGGAUGGAUCAAGAGCUGAAGAUAGGUGAUUCUGACUUGUCUAGGAGCUCCGAGAGUGACACUUCAUCAGAGAGACCUUCAACCUCGAUUGCAGAAGAUAGAGUUGUCCCUGAUUGUGAGUUGCAUCCAAAAAUGAAUUUUGAAUUGUCAGAUACUGCUACGCUUGAGCAACAUCGGGCUUACAAGAUUGAACUCCAAGUCAGUAAUUUUUUUAUAUUGGGAUAAGUAUGAGUGGUUCUUCAAGUAGCAGUUACUUAUCUAGUACUGAAACUGUCACAGAGGGUUGCCUAAAUAUAUCAUUAUAAUUUGCCAUAUUACUAUUGACUUCUCUUCAGUCAUGUAUUUUUAUGUAGCGUAAUUUUAUGUGUAGCUCUCCUUUUCUUUUACAAGCUUAAUUUUACUGACCAACUUUACUGGGUUACAUGCAAAAUGGUAGCUCAUUAUUUAACAGGAAUCCUUUUAAAGGCAUCGAGUUUCUUAUAAAUACAUGCAGAUGAGAGCUUUAUUGCCUGAUAGACCAGGCUCUUCUUCAGCCAAGUUAAAUAGUUCCAUCACUAUUUCAUUCUUGAGAUAUUCCAAUAGAAGCACAAAGCGUUUCUGAUCCACAUUGUAUACAACAAAAUCGCCCUGCUCAACUGCUGUCGACAUGCUACAACUGUUUGCGUCAGUAUCUGAGGUGGCACUUGAUGAUGUUAAUAGGAAAGAACUCCGAGAUGAAAGGAAAAAGAGGGAUGAUUUAGGCUUGAAACUCUUCUGGAUAUAAAGCAAUGGAAAUUUGAUGAAUAUAUAACUAGAAGGCAAACAUGGAGAACCACUUUCAUAACAUAGAAAAUCAAAUCAAUCAACGUACGGUUUUAGUGUAGCAGAUUAGAACCUCAAGAAGUUGACCAAGAGGUGGUCGCUCUCAAGGAAUUAACACUGCUUUUCUGAAUAAUAACACAAUAUGCAUACUUAUGUAGCUUUUUUUUAUGGUAUAAUGACAUGAUAGAAUGUGAUUACAAUGUUGUAACUUUUGAUGUUGUAAAAUUUUAUAUCAUAUGAAUUAUGACAUAUAAACUAAUGAAAUCAUGUAACUUUUUGUUAAUAUAUGAAUAUUAUGUUUAGAUGUGAAAUAUAA